rnacentral:rRNA from 1 species
AUGGCCGGCGGCGGCAGGAGGCUCUCGGAGGUGCUGCGGGAGCAGCAGGAGCCGUUCCUCCUUCACGGAGAGCCCUGCUGCUCCGUCGCCGACGAGGGAGCCAGGGCUUCGUGGGGCCGGGCCGUGCGGAGGGCGCUGCCGCGGUGGCGGUGGGACGGCCUCGCCGCCGGAUGCUUCCCCUGCGCCACCCGCUGCAAGCGCGAGAGCUUCCGCCCGCUGCCGCGCGCCGGCCACGCGCGCUGCGACGAGGGCGUUGUUGGUAUGGAAUCCGACGGCGACGACGGCGCGAGGCGGCUCAGCCCGGUGUCCGUCCUGGACGUGCUGCGGUGCUCCGACGACGAGGAAUGGUCGUCGUCCCCCACGCUCAGCGACUGGGAGGAGGAGGAGGACGACGACGACAGGCCAUCGUCGACGCCAGGGAGCUCGCCGCCACCCGACCCGCUCACCGACGAGAAGUCGGAGGAGGAGUGGAGGAAGGUGGUUUCGUCCUGGGAGCGGAUCGCGGGGGACAUCGCAAGAGUCCCGGCGCUUGCGGAGCUGGACCUGUCGACCUCCAUGUCCAUGUCGGCGAGGGAGUGGCACGGGGAGGCGGAGGCCGAGCGGGUGGGCGCGAGCGUGGAGGCCAUGAUCUUCGAGGACAUGAGCGCGGAGGCCGUGCGCGACAUGGUCGAGCUGUAG